UACAGAGGUCUCGAGCGUUGUUCGGAUUCAUUGGGCGUAAAGGGUGCGUAGGUGGUCUGGUAAGUCGGAUGUGAAAUCCCGGAGCUUAACUUCGGAACUGCAUUCGAUACUGCCGGACUGGAGUACUGGAGAGGAGAUCGGAAUUUACGGUGUAGCAGUGAAAUGCGUAGAUAUCGUAAGGAAGACCAGUGGCGAAGGCGGAUCUCUGGACAGUUACUGAACG
rnacentral:rRNA from 1 species